rnacentral:rRNA from 1 species
CCUACGGGUGGCUGCAGUUGGGAAUCUUGCACAAUGGGGGAAACCCUGAUGCAGCGACGCCGCGUGGAGGAUGAAGGAUCUAGGUCUGUAAACUCCUUUUUCAUGGAAAGACUUAGGACGGUACCAUGAGAAUAAGCCCCGGCUAACUACGUGCCAGCAGCCGCGGUAAGACGUAGGGGGCGAGCGUUGUCCGGAUUUACUGGGCGUAAAGAGCGCGUAGGCGGCUUGUUAAGUGUGAAGUGAAAUCUCCAGGGCUCAACCCGGAAACUGCUUUACAUACUGGCAAGCUAGAGGAAUGCAGAGGUAAGUGGAAUUCCUGGUGUAGCGGUGAAAUGCGUAGAUAUCAGGAGGAACACCCAUGGCGAAGGCAGCUUACUGGGCAUUAUCUGACGCUGAGGCGCGAAAGCGUGGGUAGCAAACAGGAUUAGAUACCCCUGUAGUC